rnacentral:rRNA from 1 species
AUUGAACGCUGGCGGCAUGCCUUACACAUGCAAGUCGAACGGCAGCACGGGAGCAAUCCUGGUGGCGAGUGGCGAACGGGUGAGUAAUACAUCGGAACGUGCCCAAUCGUGGGGGAUAACGCAGCGAAAGCUGUGCUAAUACCGCAUGAGAUCUACGGAUGAAAGCAGGGGACCGCAAGGCCUUGCGCGAAUGGAGCGGCCGAUGGCAGAUUAGGUAGUUGGUGAGGUAAAGGCUCACCAAGCCUGCGAUCUGUAGCUGGUCUGAGAGGACGACCAGCCACACUGGGACUGAGACACGGCCCAGACUCCUACGGGAGGCAGCAGUGGGGAAUAUUGGACAAUGGGCGCAAGCCUGAUCCAGCAAUGCCGCGUGUGUGAAGAAGGCCCUCGGGUUGUAAAGCACUUUUAUCAGGAACGAAA